rnacentral:pre_miRNA from 1 species
AGAGGAACGGACUGCUUAGAUGUGAGAGUUAUCAUAUCACCUAAGCGUUCUGCUCCUCUAC